GGUUAACGCUAGCGGUGCGCCUAACACAUGCAAGUCGAGCGGUAUUGGUAUUUUAAAGAUUUUCGGAUUGAUAAAAUAUUGAGAGAGCGGCGAACGGGUGAGUAACACGUUGGUACAUGCCCCCAAGUCAGGGAUAGCCAGAAGAAAUUCUGAUUAAUACCGGAUAGUCUCUUUGGAGUAAAAAUUUAUUGCUUGGGGAGUGGCCUGCGUUCUAUCAGCUAGUUGGUGAGGUAAUAGCUCACCAAGGCUAUGACGGAUACUUGGUCUGAGAGGACGAUCAGGCACAAUGGAACUGAGACACGGUCCAUACUCCUACGGGAGGCAGCAGUGAGGAAUCUUCCACAAUGGACGAAAGUCUGAUGGAGCGACACCGCGUGAAGGAUGAAGGCCUAACGGUUGUAAACUUCUUUUCUGAAGGAGCAUAAUGAGAGUACUUCAGGAAUAAGGGACGGCUAAAUACGUG
rnacentral:rRNA from 1 species